rnacentral:rRNA from 1 species
UAAUACGAAGGGGGCUAGCGUUGUUCGGAAUUACUGGGCGUAAAGCGCACGUAGGCGGAUAUUUAAGUCAGGGGUGAAAUCCCGGGGCUCAACCCCGGAACUGCCUUUGAUACUGGGUAUCUAGAGUAUGGAAGAGGUGAGUGGAAUUCCGAGUGUAGAGGUGAAAUUCGUAGAUAUUCGGAGGAACACCAGUGGCGAAGGCGGCUCACUGGUCCAUUACUGACGCUGAGGUGCGAAAGCGUGGGGAGCAAACAGG